GAUGAAGAACGUAGCGAAAUGCGAUACGUAAUGUGAAUUGCAGAAUUCAGUGAAUCAUCGAAUCUUUGAACGCAUAUUGCGCUCUCUGGUAUUCCGGAGAGCAUGCUUGUUUGAGUAUCAGUAAACACCUCAACUUCCAUAUCUUUUUUGAAAUGGGAGUUGGACUUGAGUGAUCCCAACGCUUUUCCUCACCGAAAAGUGGCGGGUUACUUGAAAUGCAGGUGCAGCUGGACUUUUCUCUGAGCUAUAAGCAUAUCUAUUUAGUCUGCCUAAAAAACAGAUUAUUACCUUUGCUGCAGCUAACAUAAAGGAGAUUAGUUCUUGUGCUGACUGAUGCAGGAUUCACAAAGACAGCUUCGGCCGACUUUGUAAACUCGAUCUCAAAUCAAGUAAGACUACCCGCUGAACUUAAGCAUAUCAAUAAGCGGAUGA
rnacentral:misc_RNA from 1 species